CAGAAGGUAGUUUAAUAAAAAUGCUAGUUUUGGGGACUAGUGAUAAGGGUUAGUUCCUUUCUUCUGA
rnacentral:tRNA from 1 species